GAAAGGUCAGACCUCCUGCAAUUCCAUGUACAGACUGAAAGAAGUUGGCGACAUCCUGAUGAAUUCAAGACGGGACUUAGGAACUUUGGGUACCUACACCUCUACCUUGGGAAUUAGAAGAUACUUUACCUUUAUUUUGGCUCAUUAAGUUUAUAAAGUCAAAAAAAUGA